UACGGAAGGCAGCAGUGGGGAAUAUUGCACAAUGGGCGCAAGCCUGAUGCAGCCAUGCCGCGUGUAUGAAAAAGGCCUUCGGGUUGUAAAGUACUUUCAGUCGUGAGGAAGGUGUUAAGGUUAAUAACCUUAGCAAUUGACGUUAGCGACAGAAGAAGCACCGGCUAACUCCGUGCCAGCAGCCGCGGUAAUACGGAGGGUGCGAGCGUUAAUCGGAAUUACUGGGCGUAAAGGGCACGCAGGCGGUUAAUUAAGUUGGAUGUGAAAUCCCCGGGCUUAACCUGGGAAUGGCAUUCAAGACUGGUUAGCUAAAGUCUUGUAGAGGGGGGUAGAAUUCCGAUGUGUAGCGGUGAAAUGCGUAGAGAUGUGGAGGAAUACCGGUGGCGAAGGCGGCCCCUGGACAAAGACUGGACGCUCAUGUGCGAAAGCGUGGGGAGCAAACAGGAUUAGAUACC
rnacentral:rRNA from 1 species